GUGGGGAAUUUUGCGCAAUGGGGGAAACCCUGACGCAGCAACGCCGCGUGAGUGAUGAAGGCCUUCGGGUCGAAAAGCUCUGUCAGAGGGGAAGAAGUGUGGGGUGGCUAAUAUCCAUUUCACUUGACGGUACCUUCAAAGGAAGCACCGGCUAACUCCGUGCCAGCAGCCGCGGUAAUACGGAGGGUGCGAGCGUUGUUCGGAAUUAUUGGGCGUAAAGCGCGUGUAGGCGGUUUUUUAAGUCUGAUGUGAAAGCCCGGGGCUCAACCCGGGAAGUGCAUUGGAAACUGGGAGGCUUGAAUACGGGAGAGGGCAGUGGAAUUUCUGGUGUAGGAGUGAAAUCCGUAGAUAUCAGGAGGAACACCGGUGGCGAAGGCGGCUGCCUGGACCGAUAUUGACGCUGAGACGCGAAAGCGUGGGGAGCAAACAGGAUUAGAAACCCGAGUAGUCC
rnacentral:rRNA from 1 species